rnacentral:rRNA from 1 species
CGGACGGGUGAGUAAUGUCUGGGAAACUGCCUGAUGGAGGGGGAUAACUACUGGAAACGGUAGCUAAUACCGCAUAACGUCGCAAGACCAAAGAGGGGGACUUUAGGGCCUCUUGCCAUCGGAUGUGCCCAGAUGGGAUUAGCUAGUAGGUGGGGUAACGGCUCACCUAGGCGACGAUCCCUAGCUGGUCUGAGAGGAUGACCAGCCACACUGGAACUGAGACACGGUCCAG